rnacentral:lncRNA from 1 species
UACCCACCUUAAACUCUGGCCCCGACCGUAACUUGAGCCAAAAUUAGGCUAGUCUCAUGCCUAGCUUGAGACCAGCCUAAUGUUGGCUUAUCUUGAAUAAAGGAUAUUGUGAUUGGGGAACUUAACAUCUUAUCCUUGUUAUAUUAUAUGUUUCCUUCUCCCUUAAUGAAAUUUAAUUCUUCUUACUAGAAAAAAAAAAUAUAUUACCUUUCUUCCUUCAACUAUGAGGACAAUGCCUCAAAUCCCUUUCUCCAUCUAGCAAACGUUUUUACUAAUUAUGAUACUA